CGACGUGAGUAACCUGCCUUGGAGUGGGGAAUAACAGAUGGAAACAUCUGCUAAUACCGCAUAAUACGUCUGUGUCGCAUGGCACUGGACGUCAAAGAUUUAUCGCUCUGAGAUGGACUCGCGUCUGAUUAGCUGGUUGGCGGGGUAACGGCCCACCAAGGCGACGAUCAGUAGCCGGACUGAGAGGUUGGCCGGCCACAUUGGGACUGAGACACGGCCCAGACUCCUACGGGAGGCAGCAG
rnacentral:rRNA from 1 species